AUCCUUUUCAUCGCUAUUCAAAUUUCUAAAUCAUCUUCAUUCUUUACAAAUUCUUAAAUCAUUUCAUUAUUCUUGUUAAAAGGAUGGAGAAGCGGAAGGUGACGAUAAGCAGCAAGCAGCAAUCGACGGCAAGCAACGAGCAACGGUGGAUAGCAAUUCUUAAAUCAUUUCAUUAUUCAUAUUGGUUAAAAGGAUGGAGAAGCGGAGGGUGACGAUAAGCAGCAAGCAACAAUCGACGGCAAACAACGAGCAAUGGAUGGAGAAGCGGAGGGUGACGAUAAGCAGCAAGCAGCAAGCAACGAGCAACGAUUGAUGGCCAACAAAGUGAGAUGACGAGCAACAAUGCGCGAUGGUGGAUGACCAAGCUGCGCGUGAUGACGAGCAGCGUAGGACGCAAGAUGACGAACGAUGAGACCCACAGACAAUGGCGAAUAAGGAGAAAUGCGAGCGACGGAUAACAGUGAUUGGUGGGCAACACAAGCAAUGAGUAAUAGUGAGCAGCGACAAGAACUUAAGGAGGAACCUCUGUUUUAAUUUAUGUGGCAUUUAUUGAGUUUCAAUCUUCGAUCUAUUGAUUUUUUUUUGUGAA